GACGAACGCUGGCGGCGUGCCUAAUACAUGCAAGUUGAGCGCUGAAGGUUGGUACUUGUACCAACUGGAUGAGCAGCGAACGGGUGAGUAACGCGUGGGGAAUCUGCCUUUGAGCGGGGGACAACAUUUGGAAACGAAUGCUAAUACCGCAUAAAAACUUUAAACACAAGUUUUAAGUUUGAAAGAUGCAAUUACAUCACUCAAAGAUGAUCCCGCGUUGUAUUAGCUAGUUGGUGAGGUAAAGGCUCACCAAGGCGAUGAUACAUAGCCGACCUGAGAGGGUGAUCGGCCACAUUGGGACUGAGACACGGCCCAAACUCCUACGGGAGGCAGCAGUAGGGAAUCUUCGGCAAUGGAAGAAAGGCUGACCGAGCAACGCCGCGCGAGUGAAGAAGGUUUUCGGAUCGUAAAACUCUGUUGGUAGAGAAGAACGUUGGUGAGAGUGGAAAGCUCAUCAAGUGACGGUAACUACCCAGAAAGGGACGGCUAACUACGUG
rnacentral:rRNA from 1 species